rnacentral:rRNA from 1 species
UACGUAGGCAGCGAGCGUUGUUCGGAGUUACUGGGCGUAAAGGGUGCGCAGGCGGUGGAGCAAGUCUGUUGUGAAAUCUCCCGGCUUAACCGGGAGGGUGCGGCGGAAACUGUUCUGCUGGAGUGAGGGAGAGGCAAGCGGAAUUCCUGGUGUAGCGGUGAAAUGCGUAGAUAUCUGGAGGAACACCGGUGGCGAAGGCGGCAUCCUGGACCGGUAUUGACGCUGAGGCGCGAAAGCUAGGGGAGCAAACGGGG